GAUGAACGCUAGCUACAGGCUUAACACAUGCAAGUCGAGGGACCGGCGCACGGGUGAGUAACACGUAUCCAACCUGCCCUUUACUCGGGGAUAGCCUUUCGAAAGAAAGAUUAAUACCCGAUAUAAAGGAUGGGGAUGCGUUACAUUAGUUUGUUGGUGAGGUAACGGCUCACCAAGCCUUCGAUGGAUAGGGGUUCUGAGAGGAAGGGACCUCACAUUGGAACUGAGACACGGGCCAAACUCCUACGGGAGGCAGCAGUGAGGAAGAUUGGGCAAUGGGCGCGAGCCGGAACCAGCCAAGUAGAGUGAAGGAUGAAGGCUUAUGGGUCGUAAACUUCUUUUAUAUAAGAAGAUGUAUUAUAUGAAUAAGGAUCGGCUAACUCCGUGCCAGCCGCCGCGGUAAUAC
rnacentral:rRNA from 1 species